rnacentral:rRNA from 1 species
CACGUAGGGCGCAAGCGUUGUCCGGAUUCAUUGGGCGGAAAGGGUGCGUAGGCGGCGGGGCAAGUCUGAUGCGAAAUCCCGGGGCUCAACCCCGGAACUGCAUUGGAUACUGCCUUGCUUGAGUACUGGAGAGGAGACUGGAAUUUACGGUGUAGCAGUGAAAUGCGUAGAUAUCGUAAGGAAGGCCAGUGGCGAAGGCGAGUCUCUGGACAGUUACUGACGCUGAGGCACGAAGGUCAGGGGAGCAAACGGG